CCCUUAGAUGUUCUGGGCCGCACGCGUGCUACACUGAGUGGAUCAGCGGGUCAGGUUGCGCGAAAGCGUUUCCUAAUCUUUAAAUCCGCUCGUGAUGGGGAUUGACGGUUGCAAUUUUCUGUCAUGAACGAGGAAUACCUUGUAAGCGCGGGUCAUCAUCCCGCGCUGAAUACGUCCCUGCCCUUUGUACACACCGCCCGUCGCACCUACCGAUUGGAUGGUCCGGUGAAGCCUCGGGAUUGUGGUUCUUGCCGCUUUGUUGUGGCGUGACCGCGAGAACUUGUCUAAACCUUAUCAUCUAGAGGAAGGUGAAGUCGUAACA
rnacentral:rRNA from 1 species